rnacentral:rRNA from 1 species
GCCUGAGAGGGUGGCCCCCCACACUGGCACUGAAACACGGGCCAGACACCUACGGGUGGCAGCAGUAGGGAAUAUUGCCCAAUGGACGAAAGUCUGAGGCAGCAACGCCGCGUGCACGAUGAAGGCCUUCGGGUUGUAAAGUGCUUUUCUGGAGGACGAGAAAGGACGGUACUUCAGGAAUAAGGAUCGGCUAACCACGUGCCAGCAGCCGCGGUAACACGUAGGAUCCGAGCGUUAUCCGAAUUUACUGGGCGUAAAGCGCGUGUAGGCGGUUUAGUAAGUUGGAUGUGAAAGCUCCCGGCUCAACUGGGAGAGGCCGUUCAAAACUACUAAACUAGAGGACGGUAGAGGGAGGUGGAAUUCCCGGUGUAGUAGUGAAAUGCGUAGAUAUCGGGAGGAACACCAGUGGCGAAAGCGGCCUCCUGGACCGUUCCUGACGCUCAGACGCGAAAGCUAGGGGAGCGAACGGGAUUAGAAACCCCGGUAGUCCUAGCUGUAAACUAUGUGAACUUGGCGUCGGUGGGGUAAAAUCCAUCGGUGCCGUAGCCAACGCGAUAAGUUCACCGCCUGAGGACUACGACCGCAAGGUUAAAACUCAAAGGAAUUGACGGGGCCCCGCACAAGCAGCGGAGCGUGUGUUUAAUUCGUUGCUACGCGAAGAACCUUACCCGGGUUUGACAUACAGGUGGUAGGGAUCCGAGAGGUGACCGACCCUUCGGGGAGCCUGUACAGGUGCUGCAUGGCUGUCGUCAGCUCGUGCCGUGAGGUGUCCGGUUAAGUCCGGUAACGAGCGCAACCCCUGCCAUAUGUUACACGUAUCAUAUGGGACCGCCGGUAUAAAGCCGGAGGAAGGUGGGGAUGACGUCAAGUCAGCAUGGCCUUUAUAUCCGGGGCGACACACACGCUACAAUGGCCGGUACAAUGGGUAGCAAAACCGCAAGGUGGAGCCAAUCCUCAAAGCCGGUCUCAGUUCAGAUUGUAGGCUGCAACUCGCCUACAUGAAGUCGGAGUUGCUAGUAAACGCGCGUCAGCAUUAGUGCGUUGAAUACGUUCCCGGGGC